rnacentral:rRNA from 1 species
CCUACGGGAGGCAGCAGUGGGGAAUCUUGCGCAAUGGGCGAAAGCCUGACGCAGCCAUGCCGCGUGAAUGAUGAAGGUCUUAGGAUUGUAAAAUUCUUUCACCGGGGACGAUAAUGACGGUACCCGGAGAAGAAGCCCCGGCUAACUUCGUGCCAGCAGCCGCGGUAAUACGAAGGGGGCUAGCGUUGCUCGGAAUUACUGGGCGUAAAGGGAGCGUAGGCGGAUAGUUUAGUCAGAGGUGAAAGCCCAGGGCUCAACCUUGGAAUUGCCUUUGAUACUGGCUAUCUUGAGUGUGGGAGAGGUAUGUGGAACUCCGAGUGUAGAGGUGAAAUUCGUAGAUAUUCGGAAGAACACCAGUGGCGAAGGCGACAUACUGGCCCAUUACUGACGCUGAGGCUCGAAAGCGUGGGGAGCAAACAGGAUUAGAUACCCUGGUAGUCCACGCUGUAAACGAUGAGUGCUAGUUGUCGGCAUGCAUGCAUGUCGGUGACGCAGCUACGACAUAAGACACUCCGCCGUCGGGAGGUACGGUCGGCGAAGUAAGUUAAAACGUUAAAGGUUAAAGUUAGUUACGGUUCGUGAGACGUUGCCGACGGACGACGACGAGGGAGGAGG